rnacentral:miRNA from 1 species
UAUCUAACGUGUAGGGACUAA